AAUAUCAUCAUGUCCUUUGUUGUAUUCUUAACGUUAAUGUUUAUCACGCCUCUUUUUGAGUACACCCCGAAUGCAAUCCUCUCGUCCAUUAUUAUCUCUGCAGUCAUCGGCUUAAUUGAUUGUGAUGCAGCAAUUUUGAUUUGGAAAACUGAUAAAUUCGACUUUGUUGCUUGUAUGGGAGCCUUUUUCGGGGUUGUUUUUGCCUCUGUCGAGAUUGGCCUCUUAAUUGCGGUGAGAAUAUGCCUCUCUCAUUUGAAGUUUGUUAUUAAGAUUUGUACUAAAUGCAUUAAAUUCUGAUAAUAGGUCUCAAUAUCUUUCGCCAAAUUACUCUUACAAGUUACAAGGCCAAGGACAGCAAUCCUUGGAAAAAUUCCCAGGACAAAUGUUUAUAGGAAUAUCCUACAAUAUCCUGAGGCAACGAAGGUCCCGGGUGUGUUAAUCGUGAGGGUUGAUUCGGCAAUUUACUUUUCUAACUCUAACUAUAUAAGGGAGAGGUAAUAUGUCUUCCCAUUUAAUUCUCUUCUGCAAAUCUUAAUUCUCUCUACUUUUAUGUUGUUUUGAUUGAAAUUUUGAAUAGUCUGGCAAGGUGCAAAUUUUGUCUCUAAAGUUUCGUAUCGUAACCUAAGUUUUAUCUCAUUUGAGUUGUAAAAUUUUCAUGUUUUCAGGAUAAUAAGGUGGCUAACCGACGAGGAAGAGCAACUGAAAAGGGCUGGCCUUCCUGAGAUUCAAUUUUUGAUAGUCGAAAUGUCACGUAAGUACUUUCUUACCUCGUCCAACAAUUUCUGAGCAUACUAUUGCACUUUUUUUGAAUGAUACGAUCUCUCGUGAAUUUUCAUUCUCCGCAGCCGUUACUGACAUCGACACCAGCGGCAUCCAUGCAUUGGAAGAACUGUACAGAAGUCUUCAAAAG
rnacentral:lncRNA from 1 species